rnacentral:lncRNA from 1 species
CAGUAAGUACUGCCCAGCUGGUUGUCUGCUUCCUUUUGCUGAGAUAUCUGGAACAAUUCCUCAUGGAUAUAGAGAUUCCUCGCCAUUGUGCAUGGCUGGUGUGCAUGCAGGAGUAGUGUCAAACACGUUGGGCGGCCAAAUCAGUGUUGUAAUUAGUAAAGGUAUCCCCUAUUAUGAAAGUUCUUUGGCUAACAACGUCACAUCUGUGGUG